rnacentral:rRNA from 1 species
AUUGAACGCUGGCGGCAUGCCUUACACAUGCAAGUCGAACGGUAACAGGUCUUCGGAUGCUGACGAGUGGCGAACGGGUGAGUACUACAUCGGAACGUGCCUAGUAGUGGGGGAUAACUACUCGAAAGAGUGGCUAAUACCGCAUGAGAUCUACGGAUGAAAGCAGGGGGUCGCAUGACCUUUCGCACCUAAAGCGGCCGAUGGCCGAUUAGGUGGGUGGCGGGACAAAAGCUUACCAAGCCGACGAUCUGUAGCUGGUCUGAGAGGACGAUCAGCCACACUGGGACUGAGAAACGGCCCAGACUCCUACGGGAGGCAGCAGGGGGGAAUUUUGGACAAUGGGCGCAAGCCUGAUCCAGCAAUGCCGCGUGCAGGAUGAAGGCCUUCGGGUUGUAAACUGCUUUUGUACGGAACGAAAAGCCCCGGGUUAAUACCCUGGGGUCAUGACGGUACCGUAAGAAUGAGCACCGGCUAACUACGUGCCAGCAGCCGCAGUAA